UUAACGCUGGCUGUGUGCCUAAUACAUGCAUGUCGAGCGAAGGUAGCAAUACCUUAGCGGCGAAUGGGUGAGUAACACGUGCUCAACGUACCCUUCAGUUUGGCAUAGCGACUGGAAACAGUCGAUAAUUUCAAAUACUCGUAGUUUUCGCAUGAAGAUUACGGAAAAGAAGCGUUUGCUUCGCUGGAGGAGCGGGGUGCGUAACAUUAGCUAGUUGGUGAGGUAACGGCCCACCAAGGCGAUGAUGUUUAGCGGGGUUGAGAGACUGAACCGCCACACUGGGACUGAGAUACGGCCCAGACUCCUACGGGAGGCAGCAGUAGGGAAUAUUCCACAAUGGGCGAAAGCCUGAUGGAGCGACACAGCGUGAAGGAUGAAGGUCCUAUGGAUUGUAAACUUCUGUGGUAAGGGAAGAAAAGACAGAAUAGGAAAUGAUUUUGUUUUGACGGUACCUUAUUAGAAAGCAACGGCUAACUAUGUGCCAGCAGCCGCGGUAAUACAUAGGUUGCAAGCGUUAUCCGGAAUUAUUGGGCGUAAAGCGUCUGUAGGUUGUUUGUUAAGUCUGGCGUUAAAUUUUGGGGCUCAACCCCAAAACGCGUUGGAUACUGGCAGGCUAGAGUUGUGUAGAGGUUAGCGGAAUUCCUUGUGAAGCGGUGAAAUGCGUAGAUAUAAGGAAGAACACCAAGAUGGCGAAGGCAGCUAACUGGACAUAUACUGACACUGAGAGACGAAAGCGUGGGGAGCAAACAGGAUUAGAUACCCUGGUAGUCCACGCCCUAAACGAUGAUCAUUAGCUGAUGGGGAACUCAUCGGCGCAGCUAACGCAUUAAAUGAUCCGCCUGAGUAGUACGUUCGCAAGAAUAAAACUUAAAGGAAUUGACGGGGAUCCGCACAAGCGGUGGAGCAUGUGGUUUAAUUUGAAGAUACGCGUAGAACCUUACCCACUCUUGACAUCUUCUGCAAAGCUAUGGAGACAUAGUGGAGGUUAACAGAAUGACAGAUGGUGCAUGGUUGUCGUCAGCUCGUGUCGUGAGAUGUUUGGUUAAGUCCUGCAACGAGCGCAACCCUUAUCCUUAGUUACUACCAUUCAGUUGAGGACUCUAAGGAGACUGCCCGAGUAAUCGGGAGGAAGGUGGGGAUGACGUCAAAUCAUCAUGCCUCUUACGAGUGGGGCAACACACGUGCUACAAUGGCCGGUACAAAGAGAAGCGAAGUGGUGACAUGGAGCAAACCUCAAAAAACCGGUCUCAGUUCGGAUUGUAGUCUGCAACUCGACUACAUGAAGUCGGAAUCGCUAGUAAUCGUAGAUCAGCUACGCUACGGUGAAUACGUUCUCGGGUCUUGUACACACCGCCCGUCAAACCAUGGGAGCUGGUAAUGCCCGAAGUCGGUUUAUAAACAAACUGCCUAAGGCAGGACUGGUGACUGGGGUUAAGUCGUAACAAGGUAUCCCUACGAGAACGUGGGGAUGGAUCACCUCCUUUCUACGGAGUACAAAAGAGUACUUUUUAAAGUACUAUUAACCUUAUUUCACUAGACCUAUUUUAUUUAUAUAUUUUUU
rnacentral:rRNA from 2 species